rnacentral:misc_RNA from 1 species
GAUGAAGAACGUAGCGAAAUGCGAUAAGUAGUGUGAAUUGCAGAAUUCAGUGAAUCAUCGAAUCUUUGAACGCACAUUGCGCCCCAUGGUAUUCCGUGGGGCAUGCCUGUUCGAGCGUCAUUUACCCCCUCAAGCUCCGCUUGGUGUUGGGCGUCUGUCCCGCUUCGCGCGCGGACUCGCCCCAAAGGUAUUGGCAGCGGUCGUGCCAGCUUCUCGCGCAGCACAUUGCGCUUCUCGAGGCACCGGUGGGCCCGCGUCCAUCAAGCUCACCCCCCCAGUUUGACCUCGGAUCAGGUAGGGAUACCCGCUGAACUUAAGCAUAUCAAUAAGCGUAGGA